AACGAAGAAAGAAUAUAAAAAAAAUAAAAAAAAAAAACAGGCAGGAAGGAAUUGGUUCUUACAGUGGGAGAUGAAUGGACUAGACUCGGUAAUCAGCUGAGGUGGUUAGUGCUUAGUUGUUAGAAGAUUAGAUAAAUUUAUGGAUGGUGAUGAUAGGUGGAAAAAAGGUUAGCAUGUUUCACUUAGUUAGUGUCACGUUAUUGAUGAGCUCUAAAAGGUGAUUAGGUAGAUUUAUGGAUGAGAAUGACAGAUGGAAAUAGGUGAGUGUGUUUCAGUCAGUGUCGAGUCAUUAGUGAGCUCUAAAAGAUGAUUAGAUAAAUUUAUGGAUGAGAAUAAUAAGUGGAAAUAGGUCUUAUAUAGGGACAGCCACGCGUAGAACUGGUGUCUUCUUCCAGCUUCACUUAUUUUCUUGCGUUGUGUUCAGCUGCGCACGUGAGUUUAAAUCUCCCGCGCUGGUGACGCAAUAAUCAGCUGACCGGGCGCCACUGUCAGCUGCCAGCCGUGAUUACUCCAACAUUGAGACGUGAGGGCAGACAGAUCACAAUUCAACAGCUACCAGCCAUGGACGCAGCACAAGGCGCGGAGGUGAGGACAGCAACAAGCGAGUCACCUCCAAAUGCUCGCCGCGUCUUCAUUAAACUCUUCCUGCACAGCCUGGCCAUGUUCACCCUUCCCUUCUGGGCGUACUUCACCUGCAAGAACUAUGCAGAAAAGGAGUAUGGGAUAGAAGCACCCCGGAGCUACAUCUAUGGGGCAGUGGCGGCUGUGUGCGUGAUUCAGGCUGUUAUCUUCUCUUACAUCUAUCAGGCUUUUAAGGAGGAGCAGCUGGAGAGAAGACUAAAGGCUGCUGCUAAGAAGGACUGAGUGUGGGGCGAGUGUGUCUGUGUGGGUGUAUAUAAGUGUUGUAUGGAUGUAUUGUAUAGACGGGGUGUAUUUUUUGGUACUGGUGUUAGAAAAUGCACUUGUUUGUGUGUAUGCACUUUUUGGUGUUGUGAUUUGGAAGACAGUAUCUCUUAGGUUUUUUUUUUUUUUUCUGCGUGUAAUUUAAUGAGGUGUUUUCAUUAGUGUGGCCUGAAAAGUUUCCAUGAGUAAAAGUUUUGGAGGGAGUAACUUUGCUUGCACACACAAUUCACUGUUCUGUCAAAUCCUUAAUGUUUAGAAACUUUCCAGACUUUACAUGGAUACAGUAAGGAGUUUGUUUGUAUACUUAUCACUUACACUCUGUAUAAAACAUGAAAGAUUUCUAAAUGUAGGAAUACUUUGAUAAGAGUAAAAAGCAUUUGUGUGUGCAAGUUUUCUCCAUAUGAAUGCUGAUUGCUGUGGAGAAAAGUUUUAUACCCAUUACGCAUCACAAGUGUUGUACUUUUAUAUAUUUUCGUACAAAUCAGCAGAUGUAUGGUGAGACGCCCACCAGUGAAUUGAGCUGUUAUUGUCUUGUAAUUUGUCAGGAAUCACAUGUUGCUGUGUUUUGGUUGAGGUGUCUUGGCCAUCUGUCACAGUCAUUGGGAUAUAUGAGUUCACAUCUGACUUGCCUGCACAGUGACUAACAGAUGAGAGGGAAGGCAGGAGAGGAACUCAGGUUGAAGUAGUACUAUUGUCUCAUCUCAAGCACAGGUCUUCCUUUGAGAGUAGAGACACAGCCAAUAUUCAGAACCUGAGAGAAUACCCUUACUUCACCUUGAGUUUUCCUACCAUCUCCCCAACACCUGCACAAAUGUUCAGGAUUUUUCAUGCAGUGGUGUGUGGAAUGAACAAGGUUUGAUCUGCCAAACAUUCCAGUGGUAGUACUUACAAAGGAGAAUUUGUACAUGUAGGCAGUGGAUAGGGCAAUUAUACACACAGUGAGAAUUAAGCUUUAUGAAAAUAGUUACAAUUUCUAAUAAUUAUACACAAGCAUAUUUUGUGUUGAGGGUAAUGUUCUUUCAGAUAAACUCUGAACAGUAAGCACUGGCCAUCCUGUGUGGCCACACACUUUGUUUCAACCAUUAUUAAAAAGGAAAAUGUUUUAA